UACAGAGGGGGCAAGCGUUGUUCGGAAUUACUGGGCGUAAAGGGCGCGUAGGCGGCCUUCUAAGUCGAACGUGAAAUCCCCGGGCUCAACCCGGGAACUGCGUCCGAUACUGGAAGGCUUGAAUCCGGGAGAGGGAUGCGGAAUUUCAGGUGUAGCGGUGAAAUGCGUAGAUAUCUGGAGGAACACCGGUGGCGAAGGCGGCAUCCUGGACCGGCAUUGACGCUGAGGCGCGAAAGCCAGGGGAGCAAACGGG
rnacentral:rRNA from 1 species